GAGAUUGAAAGACAAUAUGAAUGAAAGUGAUGAAAAGAUGUGGGGUUCAAUCAUUGAAUCAAAAUCUGUAAAAAGUAAUUGCUCUAAGACUGAAAAAUACAAUACUGGAGCCAUGCUUCCUGGAGCACUCUUUAUUCUACAUCUCAAAUUAUAACUAAGCACAGUUGGGAUUCUGCCCCUCUUCCCCCACCCGUCUCAGCUAAUUUAUUUCUGGGUCCUAUUCAUUGAUUGAAUUAAAUCCUACUGAUGUCAUGAAAACAUCCAAUAUUUCCCUGCUCCAAGUGCUCAACUCACAACCCUGAGGCCCACCAGAAGAGGUCUCUGCUGACUCUACCAGCUAUUUCCUCCGUAAGGCGGAAAUCUCCAAGGUAAACAAUCCACCAGCACCUGGUACCUCUCCUUACCCUGCCUCCUUGGAAGAAAGGGAAAAGAGAAUUUAGCAGAAAAAAAUUCCUCAAACGUAACAAAGUAUCCCAGCCCCUUUGGACAGACCUAUGUACCCAUCUGUCAUAAGUAAACCCAUACAACAAGAAUGUUGCCAUGUCUUUAAAAAUUCCUGAGGUCCAGCUCGGCGCAGUGGCUCAAGCCUAUAAUCCCAGCACUUUGGGAGGCUGAGGUGGGUGGAUCACGAGGUCAGGAGAUCGAGAUCAUCCUGGCCAACAAGGUGAAAUCCCAUCUCUACUAAAAAUACAAAAAUUAGCUGGGACAGACAAAGCACCCCUACUUCCAGGAAGGGCAACAUGGCUCACCGAAAAUGUUCAAGGCAAAGAUUGUUGUGUCUACUCUGAGCCAACCCCAACAAAAUAAAUAUAGCCCAACCACAUGGAAAAUCAGGGAGAAACUGAUGACCACAUAUAUUAUUAUAAUCAAAAUAAGUGAAUAAGUGCAGCCACUUGUGCUACUCUGGGAUCCCAGCAUCCUCUUCGAAAUCUACAAGCCCUUCUCUAUGGAAGCAGGUCCCACAGUCCUACCUGGCCUACAGAGAGGGUCAAUCACAGGUGUUUGCAAGCAUGUAGGUGGUUUACACAUCAAUGCUUCACUUCCUUCUAAGCCUUCUCCAAGGGUGAAACUAAGGAGGGAGCUGUUGACUUCAUCUUUUUUCCCCUGUUUCCACAGGUCUUAUCAAAAUUAUUUCUGAUGAUAUUUUCAAUAUGUACAUAAAAAUUCCACUUCUAUUAGUAUUACCAAUAAUGAUAACAAGCUAACAAUUGAGCACUUGUGAAUUUUUCUAAGAACAUUACAGCCGUUGGCUCAUUUAAUAUUCAGAACCCUGUAACACACAAUAACCCACACUCUUGAUUGUCUGACUUAAGCCCUAUCUAUAAUCUCCUUUCUCUCCCAAAUUCAAGCAAAGGUGGUCAGGAGAUACAAAUCAGGCCCAUAAGUGAGUUUCUGCUUAUUGGAAAUUUGAGAAAAGCUUUGAUUUUCUGAUAAAAAGGCAGACUCAGCAAAAAUUCUCCCAUGCCUCUUUUCCCUUCUUUUUGUAUGAAAAGUAGAAUCGCACACAAAGUAUGGCAGAGACAAAAAACCUCAUUUCUCUCACACUAUUGAUCAGCAGCACCUGCUCUUUGGGUUUCUCUUUGUUUAAGCUACUGUAAGUCAUACUUUCUGGUACCUUCAGGCGAAGAUAUUCCUAUCCGGUGCCAUUUAUAGGUGAGGAAGCUGAGACAUGAUAAAAUGAAGCCAUCUGUCUAAGAUCACCCAGGUGGGAAAUGCAAAAGCUUAUCUUAAACUCAAACUCUUUUUUUCCCAGAGCCCACAUUACUAACCACUAUGGCAUGCUGUGAUGCCCCUGGCAACCAUUAGAUUAGAAAUAUGGACAUUCUAGGCUGGCCCAGUGGUUCACACCUAUAAUUCCAGCACUUUGGGAGGCCCAGGUGGGCAGAUCACUUGAGCUCACAAGUUCGAGACCAGCCUGGACAACAUGGCAAAACCCCAUCUCUACUAAAAACGCACACAAAAAGAACCCAGGCAUGACGGUGCGUGCCUGUAGUCCCAGCUACUCAGGAGGCUGAGGCAGGAGAAUUGCUUGAGCCGGAGAGGCAGAGGUUGCGGAGAGCUGAGACUGCACCACAGUACUCCAGCCUGGGCAAUAGAGCCAGAAAGGAAAGAAAGAAAAAGAAAGGGAAGGGAAAGGAAGGGAGGAGGAAGGAAAGGGAAGGGAAGGGGAGGGGAGGGGAGGGGAGGGGAGGGGAGGGGAGGGGAGGGGAGGAGAGGGGGAAGGGGCAAGGGGGAAGGGAAGGGAAGCCGCACGCCACCACACCUGACUAAUUUCGUAUUUUUAGUAGAGAUGAGGUUUCACCAUGUU
rnacentral:lncRNA from 10 species